AACGAACGCUGGCGGCAUGCCUAACACAUGCAAGUCGAACGAGACCUUCGGGUCUAGUGGCGCACGGGUGCGUAACGCGUGGGAACCUGCCCUUAGGUUCGGAAUAACUCCCCGAAAGGGGUGCUAAUACCGGAUAAUGUCUUCGGACCAAAGAUUUAUCGCCUUUGGAUGGGCCCGCGUUGGAUUAGCUAGUUGGUAGGGUAAAAGCCUACCAAGGCGACGAUCCAUAGCUGGUCUGAGAGGAUGAUCAGCCACACUGGGACUGAGACACGGCCCAGACUCCUACGGGAAGCAGCAGUGGGGAAUAUUGGACAAUGGGCGAAAGCCUGAACCAGCAAUGCCGCGUGAGUGAUGAAGGCCUUAGGGUUGUAAAGCUCUUUUACCCGGGAUGAUAAUGACAGUACCGGGAGAAUAAGCUCCGGCUAACUCCGUG
rnacentral:rRNA from 1 species